CCCGCGCCGUGUUUACUCGCUUUCUGGGUGUCAGACUCGCCGGGAAGGCUCGCUCCUAAUUAAAGGAGUAAGUGCUUUAAUCCCUGGCCUGAGGGCUUCCCAUGGAGCAUUAGCAGAAUUAAGAAGGAAAUGGAGUGUAAUCCCUUUAAUGUAAGCCUGCAGUUUCACAUUUCGGAGAAGAAUGUCCUUCGGUGAUUUCACGGCUAUUAACACGCCCAAUCUGCAUACAGUGUCACGCGGAGCAGCCCGAUUCGCCCUCUCUGCCGUAAUUAGCGGCGUGGGCAGUCCGCGGCAUCCUGGGACCUCGGGAGGCUGCGCUGGCGGGAGCCCGAGCGAGGGGACUUGGCUUGGGACGCGCAUCUUCCGACCACCAGCUUCCCCGGCCAGCCUCGGCCACAAAAACUAGAGCUGGUGAUUUUAGGCUGCUUUAAGGCCAUCAAAGCCCAGUGGCAGGACCAAAGUCAAGAUGACUGUUGAGGGCCCAGGACGUCUUUGAUGUCUGACCAGACUCUAAGUACUCCUCCAUGGCACUCCGCCACCUCCAUGGCCCUUUGAACCAAAUGUUCUCAUCCCCAUUCCACUGGGGAAGUCUUCACGCUCUCCGGGUAGAUGCCUUCCCAAAUCACGGAUGGUUUUAAGACCUGUCAGUUUACCUUUCACCUGGUUUAGCUACCAUAUUUUGGACUCUGUAAGCUACCUUCCUUUUGGAAUGAGAUCAGACAUGUCAAUUGAGGCAACAUCCAUAAAGUGCUUUGUAAGCCUUUGAGUUAUUUGAUUAUAUUAUGAUGUUAACAAUAUAUUUAUUAUCUUAAAAACAAUAAAUAUAAUAUUAUUAGUAACAAUUAUUGUUAUCGUACAUGAUUAUAGAUUAUAUUCAAUUAUAUAUCAUCAUAUUACUAUUAGUAUAAAUAGAUAAGUAAAUAUUAAACCAAAGGUCAGUAGAUUUUAUGUUUUUUGACCUGUUAGAUCAGAAAAGGGACCCAAAAGAAAUUUCAAGGGACCACAAGUGUUUUGUUUUUAGUAUCAAUUCUAACUUUAUUCAUUUAUUUACCACUUACACAUAAUGACACAUUUCGACGUAAGUUUUCUGAAGUUUUAUGAUCCAAACUAUCUCCUUCCCUCCUUCUCACUCCCCUCCCAGAGCUGGUAUGAAGUUCUAUGUGGGUUAUACAUGUAUUAUCACACAAAACACAUUCCAUAGUGUUCAUUUUUCUAAAUGAAUAAUCUUAUAAAAUCAACUCCCCCAACAUAAACCUAAAUAAACAGUUGGAAACCGG